rnacentral:rRNA from 1 species
ACAGCAGCCGCCGCGGGAAUACGAAGGGGGCUAGCGUUGCUCGGAAUUACUGGGCGUAAAGGGAGCGUAGGCGGACAUUUAAGUCAGGGGUGAAAUCCCAGAGCUCAACUCUGGAACUGCCUUUGGUACUGGGUGUCUUGAGUGUGAUAGAGGUAUGUGGAACUCCGAGUGUAGAGGUGAAAUUCGUAGAUAUUCGGAAGAACACCAGUGGCGAAGGCGACAUACUGGAUCAUUACUGACGCUGAGGCUCGAAAGCGUGGGGAGCAAACAGGAUUAGAGACCCCAGUAGUCCCUGUCUCUUAUAC